rnacentral:rRNA from 1 species
CCUACGGGUGGCUGCAGUGAGGAAUAGUGGUCAAUGGACGAGAGUCUGAACCAGCCAAGUAGCGUGAAGGAUGACUGCCCGAUGGGUUGUAAACUUCUGUUAUAGGGGAAUAAAAUGUUCCACGUGGGGGAUUUUGUAUGUACCAUAUGAAUAAGGAUCGGCUAACUCCGUGCCAGCAGCCGCGGUAAUACGGAGGAUCCGAGCGUUAUCCGGAUUUAUGGGGUUUAAAGGGAGCGUAGGUGGAUUGUUAAGUCCGUUGUGCACGUUUGCGGCUCAACCGUAAAAUUGCAGUUGAAACUGGCAGUCUUGCGUACAGUAGAGGUGGUCGUCUUUC